rnacentral:tRNA from 1 species
GGCUCACUUGGCAGAGCAUCAGGUUGUGGUCCCGAAGGUCGCGGGUUCGAGCCCCGUC